rnacentral:rRNA from 1 species
UACGUAGGUGGCAAGCGUUAUCCGGAAUUAUUGGGCGUAAAGCGCUCGCAGGCGGUUCUUUAAGUCUGAUGUGAAAGCCCACGGCUCAACCGUGGAUCGCCAUUGGAAACUGGGGAACUUGAGUGCAGAAGAGGAGAGUGGAAUUCCACGUGUAGCGGUGAAAUGCGUAGAGAUGUGGAGGAACACCAGUGGCGAAGGCGACUCUCUGGUCUGUAACUGACGCUGAGGAGCGAAAGCGUGGGGAGCAAAC